UAAAAGUUGGCUUUGGCUUAUAUUUUCAAUAUUCUAUUCUUAUAAUUAACUCAACUCAUUACCGUACGGAGCUAGUUAGUUCAAUAUUAUUUACCUAGUCCUCCUCUAUCUCCACAAGAAACUACAUGCUCUGAAACAAGGAAAUGGGCUACCUACUGCCCUUACAUCUCCCAUUUUUUUUAGUUUUCAGUCACUUUUUUGUUUUCCCUACC
rnacentral:misc_RNA from 1 species